rnacentral:rRNA from 1 species
AUCAAUNAGCGGAGGAAAAGAAACCAACAGGGAUUGCCUUAGUAACGGCGAGUGAAGCGGCAACAGCUCAAAUUUGAAAUCUGGCCCUUGGGUCCGAAUUGUAAUUUGUAGAGGAUGAUUUUGGUGCGGUAUCUUCCGAGUUCCUUGGAACAGGACGCCUUAGAGGGUGAGAGCCCCGUACGGUUGAAUGCCUAGCCUUUGUAAAUCUCCUUCGACGAGUCGAGUAGUUUGGGAAUGCUGCUCUAAAUGGGAGGUAAAUUUCUUCUAAAGCUAAAUAUUGGCCAGAGACCGAUAGCGCACAAGUAGAGUGAUCGAAAGAUGAAAAGCACUUUGAAAAGAGGGUUAAAUAGCACGUGAAAUUGUUGAAAGGGAAGGAUUUGUGACCAGACUUUUUCUGGGCGGAUCAUCCGGGGUUCUCUCCGGUGCACUUCGCCCAGUAAAGGCCAGCAUCGAUUUUCGGCGGCGGAUAAAAGCAGUGGGAAUGUGGCUCCUUACGGGGAGUGUUAUAGCCCAUUGUAUAAUACGCUGCUGGGGAUCGAGGUACGCGCUUCUGCAAGGAUGCUGGCGUAAUGGUUAUCAAUCACCCGUCUUGAAACACGGACCAAGGAGUCGAACAUUUGUGCGAGUGUUUGGGUGUUAAACCCUCACGCGUAAUGAAAGUGAACGGAGGUGAGAGCCCUUACGGGUGCAUCAUCGACCGAUCCUGAAGUUUUCGGAUGGAUUUGAGUAAGAGCAUAAAUGUUCGGACCCGAAAGAUGGUGAACUAUGCGUGGAUAGGGUGAAGCCAGAGGAAACUCUGGUGGAGGCUUGCAGCGGUUCUGACGUGCAAAUCGAUCGUCAAAUCUGCGCAUGGGGGCGAAAGACUAAUCGAACCAUCUAGUAGCU